UUAACUCAAAUUUGUAUCGAGUUGGAACGUUUGCCUACGUUUGCCACUAGGGGCGCUGUUCCAUUUGCAUACAAAUUUGAGUUA
rfam:Bombyx mori DNA, contig: Bm_scaf33_contig20353, strain: p50T/Dazao, build 2, whole genome shotgun sequence.